GGUGAACGCUGGCGGCGUGCUUAAGACAUGCAAGUCGAACGCAGUCUUCGGACUGAGUGGCGCACGGGUGAGUAACACGUAACCGACCUACCCCCAAGUCGCGGAUAACUGGCCGAAAGGUCAGCUAAUACGUGAUGUGAUGUCCCCUUUCUGGGGGGCCAUUAAAGGUUUACUGCUUGGGGAUGGGGUUGCGUUCCAUCAGCUAGUUGGCGGGGUAAAGGCCCACCAAGGCAACGACGGAUAGCCGGCCUGAGAGGAUGGCCGGCCACAGGGGCACUGAGACACGGGUCCCACUCCUACGGGAGGCAGCAGUUAGGAAUCUUCCACAAUGGGCGAAAGCCUGAUGGAGCGACGCUGCGUGAGGGAUGAAGGUUCUCGGAUCGUAAACCUCUGAAUCAGGGACGAAAGACGCGUAAGCGGGAUGACGGUACCUGAGUAAUAGCACCGGCUAACUCCGUGCCAGCCGCCGCGGUAA
rnacentral:rRNA from 1 species